rnacentral:lncRNA from 1 species
AUUUUGCUGCUGACCCUGCUAAACCUAUAAAAUGUCCACUGCCAAUAUUACUUGCGAAUAUAGAAGCUCCCACCUGCAAAAGCAUUUUUUAGUAUAAUAUUUUAUCGAUUCAUAUUCUCAGAUAUUUCACAGAUAGAAAAGCCCGUCUUGGAUCGGGAGAAUGGACUGACGAGUUUAUAUAGGAAAGUAUGGGUGGAUGGUGGAAAAAAAAUCUAUAUCAUAAAAGUGUUUUGUGAAUAUAUGUUUUUCUUCCUCACACUAAUUGUUGGUUUUUAAAAUGAUGGUUUUUUUAUUCUUAUGUUUACAUAGCCUAUCUACGGUCAACCGGAAUUUCUAAAAGGAAGGGAUGUGCUCUCGCUCAUCAAUUGCCCCUCCUCUUCUUUUUUUCCCUUUUUCUCCUUCGUUUUUCUUACGUUGGAGUAAGUGUGGAAAUAUAAAUUGUGUGUAAAAUUUUUAUAAACAAAGGUGAAAAUUUAGUGUUUAAUGGACCUGUUUAAAAAAAAAACGAAAAUCAACAUGGUAACCCUAACAAUUUGAAGAAAGUUUUGGAGAGAGAAAGAAUUAUGCUCAUGACGUUUCACAAGAUUAGCUAUAAUCUGCUGUGACAAGAAAA